CAAAACACUGCUGUUUUUCUAAAGGAACACAGCAACAAAAUUGACUCCUAACAGCAUCCCUUAUAUCCAUAGGUAAGUAUCUUGCUCAUCCAUCAUGAGAGAAGCUUUCUAAUGCAGCAGAUAGGCACAAAUACUGAGACCCAGCACGGGACAAUAUGGGAGAAACCUUGGAACACUCUGCCUCAAACUGUAUGUCUCCAUCUAAUCCCUACCCCAAGGCCCCCAGGUCUCAGUGAAUUGGUGAAAGAGGAGGUGAGAAGAUUGUAAGAACCAGAGCAUGGAAGCCACCGAGGAACCAAGGCGUUCAAGACCCACAGAGACUGAGGCAGCAUGCACGGGGCCUGCAUGGAUCUGCACUGGACGGGAUGUCUGUUUUCUAAGAAGACACAGAAAGGCUGUUGACCCAGAAAGGAGGGGCAGUAGCAAGGAUCUGGGAGGACUAAGAGGAAAGGAGAAUUUAAUCAGAAUAUACUGCAUAUAAAAACUAUUUUAAAUUAAAAAAAAUCAAGCAUUUGUACAACUUGAUCUCCUCCAGCAAGUUGUUCAUUGGCUUGCAGCGAGUUUCUGGCUGACACUAAAAGUGUAGAAACCGAAGCUCAGCGAUUCACCUCGUUACUGACCUGGAAGUGUGUCCUGACCUGAACGACAAACGCCACACAAUCACCCAACCCUGAAAACUGGGCCGCAUACUUGGAGGCGUUGAGGCUCUAAGAUCUUCCACUGGAGAAGACAACUAGGAAGUCAGAAGUAUCGCUCCUGAAUAACCUAGACAAGUCACAGUUGUGUUUGCCAUGUUUCCUUCAGUCUCCAUGGAACUUCGUUGUCCAGCAAUUACAAUGCUGUGGUGGUCUGAGUAGGAAUGGCUCCCAUAGACUCGUGUAUUUGAAUGCUUGGUCCAUAGGAAAUGGGACUAUUAGGAGGUAUCCUCUUGUUGGAGUAGGUGUGGCCUUGUUAGAGAAAGUGUGUCACUGUGAGGGUGUGCUUUGAACUCUCAGACACUUAAGGCCAGGCUCGGUGGCGCGCAGUUCUGUUCCUGCUACCUGUGGGUCAAGUUAUAAAAUAUUCCACUCCUUCUUCAGCACCAGGUCUGCCUGCAUGCUGCCAUGCUUCCUGCCAGGAUGCUAAUGGACUCAACAUCUGAAACUGUAAGCCAACACCAACUAAACGUUUUGCCUUCUUAACAGUUCCCAUGGUCGUGGAGGUCUCUCCACAGCAAUAGAAACCCUAAGACAGAUGCAGAAUCCACAAUCGCCCAUUUUAAAUAGUGCCCCAUUAUUCUAGGUUUGGAAUUCUUCCCAGGAAAGACAAGCAAAGCAGCACAUUCUCAGUUUGUCCUGCAGGUGGCGCCCUUGCCCUGAGCUAAAUCUUUCAGCCACUCCUCCAGAGGUAGGAUCAGCUGGCGGAACACUUUAUACAAUCUGCUUUUUCAAGAUCACAACUCUCCCAUGUGUGUUUGGAGAUCCUUAGUUCCAUGAUCUUUUGGGCUACUCGCUUUCUUUUACAUUUUAUUUGCAUGAUGUUUCCUAUUUUUUAAAAUAUAUUCACAAAUACCCAGUAAAAUCUCUCUCAUCAC